GGUUGACCUCGGAUCAGGUAGGGAUACCCGCUGAACUUAAGCAUAUCAAUAAGCGGAGGAAAAGAAACCAACUGGGAUUGCCUUAGUAACGGCGAGUGAAGCGGCAAUAGCUCAAAUUUGAAAGCUGGCCCCUUUGGGGUCCGCGUUGUAAUUUGUAGAGGAUGAUUCGGCGAGGGCUCCCGUCUAAGUCCCCUGGAACGGGGCGUCAUAGAGGGUGAGAAUCCCGUAUGUGAUGGGUUGCCUUAGCCAUGUGAAUCUCCUUCGACGAGUCGAGUUGUUUGGGAAUGCAGCUCUAAAUGGGAGGUAAAUUUCUUCUAAAGCUAAAUACCGGCCAGAGACCGAUAGCGCACAAGUAGAGUGAUCGAAAGAUGAAAAGCACUUUGGAAAGAGAGUUAAAAAGUACGUGAAAUUGUUGAAAGGGAAGCGCUUGCAGCCAGACUUGUCCGCAGUUGCUCAGCCGGUCUCCUGACCGGCGUACUCUUCUGCGGCCAGGCCAGCAUCAGUUCGGGCGGUCGGAUAAAGACCCUAGGAAUGUAGCUCCUCUCGGGGAGUGUUAUAGCCUGGGGUGGAAUGCGGCCAGCCUGGACUGAGGAUCUCGCUUCGGCUAGGAUGCUGGCGUAAUGGCUGUAAGCGGCCCGUCUUGAAACACGGACCAAGGAGUCUAACAUCUAUGCGAGUGUUUGGGUGUCAAACCCAUACGCGUAAUGAAAGUGAACGGAGGUGGGAACCCUCACGGGUGCACCAUCGACCGAUCCUGAUGUCUUCGGAUGGAUUUGAGUAAGAGCAUAGCUGUUGGGACCCGAAAGAUGGUGAACUAUGCCUGAAUAGGGUGAAGCCAGAGGAAACUCUGGUGGAGGCUCGCAGCGGUUCUGACGUGCAAAUCGAUCGUCAAAUUUGGGUAUAGGGGCGAAAGACUAAUCGAACCAUCUAGUAGCUGGUUCCUGCCGAAGUUUCCCUCAGGA
rnacentral:rRNA from 1 species